rnacentral:rRNA from 1 species
UACGGGGGGGGUAAGCGUUGUUCGGAAUUACUGGGCGUAAAGGGCUCGUAGGCGGCCAACUAAGUCGGACGUGAAAUCCCUCAGCUUAACUGGGGAACUGCGUCCGAUACUGGAUGGCUUGGAUUUGGGAGAGGGAUGCGGAAUUCCAGGUGUAGCGGUGAAAUGCGUAGAUAUCUGGAGGAACACCGGUGGCGAAGGCGGCAUCCUGGACCAACACUGACGCUGAGGCGCGAAAGCUAGGGGAGCGAACGGG